rnacentral:rRNA from 1 species
GACGAACGCUGGCGGCGUGCCUCAGACAUGCAAGUCGAACGCGAAAGUCUCCUUCGGGAGGCAAGUAGAGUGGCGCACGGGUGAGUAACACGUAGGUAAUCUACCUUUGGAUGGGGAAUAACAACCGGAAACGGUUGCUAAUACCGCAUAAUGCAGCGGCACCUAAUGGUGACAGUUGUUAAAGCGGGGGAGUCGAAGACCUCGCGUCUGAAGAGGAGCCUGCGGCGGAUUAGCAGUUGGUAAGGUAAUGGCUUACCAAGGCUACGAUCCGUAACCGGCCUGAGAGGGGCGGUCGGUCACACUGACACUGACAUACGGGUC